ensembl:snRNA U6 U6 spliceosomal RNA
GUGUUUGCUACAGCAGCACAUAUACUAAAAUUGGAGUGGUACAGUGAUUAGCAUGGCCCCUGCACAAGGAUGACACACAACUUAAGAAGCACUCUAUAUUAAA